AUUGAACGCUGGCGGCAUGCUUUACACAUGCAAGUCGAACGGUAACAGGCCGCAAGGUGCUGACGAGUGGCGAACGGGUGAGUAAUGCAUCGGAACGUGCCCAGUCGUGGGGGAUAACGCAGCGAAAGCUGUGCUAAUACCGCAUACGAUCUGUGGAUGAAAGCGGGGGACCGAAAGGCCUCGCGCGAUUGGAGCGGCCGAUGUCAGAUUAGGUAGUUGGUGGGGUAAAGGCUCACCAAGCCAACGAUCUGUAGCUGGUCUGAGAGGACGACCAGCCACACUGGGACUGAGACACGGCCCAGACUCCUACGGGAGGCAGCAGUGGGGAAUUUUGGACAAUGGGCGCAAGCCUGAUCCAGCAAUGCCGCGUGCAGGAAGAAGGCCUUCGGGUUGUAAACUGCUUUUGUACGGAGCGAAGAGGCUCUCUCUAAUACAGGGGGCUCAUGACGGUACCGUAAGAAUAAGCACCGGCUAACUACGUGCCAGCCGCCGCAGUAAGAC
rnacentral:rRNA from 1 species